AUUAUCUUACAUGAUAUUAUUUAAAAACUGUCGACUGGAUAAAUUUUUAUCAAAUGUAUUUACUUAGAGGUAAAAUAGACUACCCCCUGAACAUGUUAUUGAUACGAAUUGUGCUUCCUUGUUUUAUUUUGAUAGAAUACUGUACAGGCUGCGGUCGAAGCUCAAAUCAACCAAAAUCACAAGGUCACACUGCUACCAAUGGUCAGGUUGAAAUGCCAGGAAAUCAUAGACUGAAAUGUACAGAAAAUGAAACCCAAACCAUUGCUUGUCGGAACGGAGGGACAUGUUUUGCUACUUACAUAGAUUAUAGAUUUGUUCGCUGUGCAUGUUUAAAAAAAUAUACUGGUAAAUUCUGCGAAAUGAUAGAUAUCAAUAUCAUUUUUAAAAGAAAAAGAGAAGAGAAAACAACAAAUGCAGGAUUGGUUGCUGGUAUUAUAACUAUUGUGUUACUCUUAACAGUAACUAUAAUUGUAUUAAUCUGCAAAAAGAAAUACAAGAAAGAGAAGAAGUAUCAAAUGAGUGAUAGAAAUGCAAAAGGAACAGAUCAAUCUGAAAUCAAAUGUAGUGAUGAAUUUCUUAAAAAGAUAUAAUAAUAAACUACAGAAACUAGAAGCAAUAUUCACAGAUACUCACAAUUUAGAAUGUAAAAAAUAACUUGUGGCAAACUCAGAGAUUAUUUAGACAAUUGCAAUUAAACACUGGCAGAUAAUAAUGGGAGAAUAGUGUUAUUUCAUUUUCGUGGUAUUAGUUUCACCCAGGUGAUGAAGUCAAUUUUUUAGUUCUGAGUUUUGAUUGGAAGUAUGAGUAUAAAUUAUAUGUUUGUCCCCCCGCGACGCGUUGCGGGGAACAUAGAAAUACCGGGCGUCCGUCCGGUUUUGUUAGCAUUUUCAUUAACAAAGUGUAUAUGUUGAUAUGAAUACUACAGCCAAGCUCAAUAGGAAGAUGGUCAACUUGUCAUUUUACUUUAAUUUCUAAUACGAAAUAAUGAAGUACUUCUCUCACACAUAACUUACUUUUUUACUGAUUUGUAUUAUAUAUUGUAGAAAAUUCA